GGGUCUGACCUGCUCUGCUUAAACUGUAAAGAUAGUUCAUUCAUCAUGGAGUACUGCCACUGGAAAUGAGCAUGAAGAGAGAUUCAAGUUCUGCUCAGAAAAACUGAAGGACAGAGCUGCAUAGUUCACCAUGUCAAGCUCAUGUAUUUAUGGUUCAAAGGGCUCUCCUCACCCCCAGACUUGAAGCUUACAGAGGAAUCCAAGAUUUUGAAUGUGAUGUAUUAAAACACGGAGCAGUACAAUCCAAAUGCAAUGAGGCAAAUAACUGUAAAAGUCAAAAUUAGGAUACAGAGAACAAUGCAUUUCAAAUUAAGUGGGAACAAGAUUACUUGCUAGCUGAAAAUAAUGAGCACCUUCAGUGCCUUAUGCGCAUGCAAAUGAUAGGUGUGCCAAAGGAAUAUAAUAUCAGCUGACAUUACAAAACCUACCACCACAGAAAAUAAGAGGAGUGCACUGGAAAACCUAAUCAUUACAGAAUUAGAAGAAAUCCCCCUUCCCCAAAUCAAGAUUACAAGCAAAGAAGUAUGCUGAUUUAACCUGCCUCUGCAUAAACUGCAAAUGUGGCUACAUCCUAUGAGACAUACGUCAGGUGAAUCCCUGAGAUGAGACGGCGAGCUGGAAAAAGAAAAUGUGCUGGUAAAAUGUUCUCUGCAUCUAUGGGUAAAAAAAAUGAAUGUAACAAGCCAUGAAAGCUGGUUAUCAUCUCAGGUAACUGGGGCAAGCAGAAUAGUUGACACAAUCAUUCACUCAAAAUUUGAGAACAAAACAUAAGCACUUGUCUUAAUUUUGAAUGAGACCCCCACCCCCAGUGAAAUCCGUUGUUAAAUUACAGCUUAGCUAUUGCUGAGGCCUUCUUUGUAAAAUGGGCAGUACUUUCAAAGUAUUCAGGAAGUAUUUCUCUCUGCCACUAGCUCAUACAAGUUUCCGAAACGCCCUUGUCAUAAGUAAUGACAGUGACUGUCUAGAAGAGUCAGUUAAUGAGUAUGCUGAAAAGAAACUGCAGCUGAAUGCCUUACUUUCUCUGCACAAUACAUUUCCAGGCAGUUGGUGCUUAUUCUAUGAAACAAGGAAUUUGAAAACUACUCGAAUCUACAUACUCUUAACCUCAUUCAGAGAAGUAGCACACAGAGGCACCGAAAACGUAUCAGAUAUCUCAAGAAGGUGGAUCUAAACGAUGGAAGUUUACCCUCACUCAGAAAGCUGAGGGACUGUAUGGGAAGAAGCUGCCUUCCAUACUUUUCCAAAUGUGCAUGAUGUCUUUAAGAAGAGAAAACAAACACAAUUCACUCAUAAAAGCCUGGUCUUCCUACAGCUUCAUAAUAGUUCAAUCUGCAUGGUGCCUAAAAUGCAGUACAGCUAUUCAGGUCAUCUAUUAUCCAUGGAAGAGCUAAAAAUUUGCUAGCUUCCAUGUUGGACUGCAAAAUUUUCUACAGAGUCUUCCACACUUACAUACUUAUAUGUAUCCCAAAAUGAACUCUUAAAGUUUUAAUUGAGAAAGAAGUGUCUAAAAUCAUCUCCAGAGAGCCCAUUCUCGCAUCUAGUAUCCAUGAACAGCAUUGAGUUUAGCUCAAAAUCCAUUUAGUGCUUCCAUUUGGCACUAGCAGUCAUGUUCUGCCCAUGGAGAGAACUCUUCCAGUAGACUGCUCUCACCAGCAGCCUGGAUAAUAGCUUCGGAUGAGGCCCAUAUCUGCCCUCCCGGUAACUCUCAGUAGCUCACUCACGAGAUAGGAAUAAUAUUUACAUUUUGCAUUAUGGAGUUGACUAAACUGCACGCAUACAACCAGCAUCAGAGUUUCAAUCCCAAAGACUUCUCAUUUCAAAAAAGUAUUUUUAGCAUUGGAAGACAGGGAGUUUGAGUCUGUUUUGGGAGUUUCAUUAUCCUAUUUACUCUUAAAAAUGUCUUGGUGGCCAGAGAUACUUCUGGCAAAGCCAAACCUGCUCACACUUCAGGUGAUUUCAACAGCAUUUUCCACUGAAGACCUCCAUGCAGAACUCCAUGUCAGUAUAUGGGAGUCCUGAGUCAGCUGGCAGCCCUAAGCAAUCAGGACAAAGCAGCCAGUGCCUCAUACAGGUGCACUGAAUCCCUUUUUACAAGGUCUUACAAUUUUUAACUGGCUGUGAAAGAAAUCAUACAGUACUUUCCUGGCACAGCAGCACAUCAGUUCCAGAUAUGGAAAUAACUUCGAUGCAAAGUGGUGAUGAAUGGCGUUCUCUGCUUGUUUCUUAAG
ensembl:lncRNA